GUGAAUCAUCAAAUUUUUGAACGCAAAUUGCACUCUCUUCGGAGAGUAUGCCUGUUUGAGUGUCAGUCUAAAAAAAAUCGACGUAAUCGCUGUUUCGCGGUUACAUUCGUCGGAAAUUGGGUCAUCUUAAACCUUUUGGUUUUUUAAGCGGAUUAAAAUUUUCUAUACGAUUCCACGAACGUUUCUAUGAUUUUCUUCUUACGUUUAAGGUAU
rnacentral:misc_RNA from 1 species